rnacentral:misc_RNA from 1 species
AAAACACCCACUACAAUGACAAUACAAGGCAACCAGCGCAUAAUUAUAGACGUAGGGACUCAGAAUACAUCACUUUCAGCAGUGUCGGUGCGGGCGUGGCGGCUGCAGCAGGGGUGGACGCAGGAACGAGUGGCGGUGGGCUGAAAUAUGGGACGUAGUGACAGAGUAACCCCCUCCCGAGCGCCCACGAGGUGAAGUGACGUUGCUGCCUUCCAGAUACUCCCCACCGCAGCAACACCACAGCAGCUGCCACCUCCCUGCUCCACUAACACGCAUGUAGCACCGCGUCCACACCGCUCAACAUAGCGCAAAAUAUCCCGUGAAUGUGAUGCGUGAGGUGGGGCUGUGCGGGGAGUGACCGGAGCGUGUACAGAUUAUGGCAGCAAAAAUCCCAUCGCUGGACUCCCUCUCACCGCUAGAGUCAGGCUGCGUCUCAGUCAGUCUUACGCGGGAGAUUGUAGUAUGCUCUGAGCCAGCUUGCGUGUGUCGUGAACUGCGAUAAACACCCUCCUACACCUCGCCAUGACGUUUACUGAGCAGUCCGGUACAUGAGAUCGGGCGCCGCGUAACUAGAGAUGGCGAACAGCAUGAUGGAGGAGCUGGAGAUCAAGGAGCCCACACCCAGCCUUGCUCCCAGCCAGUACGAGAGUCCACUUUACACCAAGAAAUGGAGGAUCGUGCUUGCUAUCCUGCUGGGAGUGACCUUGAUGGGCCUUUGUAUCCUGGGCUUCUACGUGAGUGUCAAGACGCGCGGUGUUCUGGAUGGCGAGAUUGCUAUGCCUGCCACUUCCACCGUUCCGCCCCUCUCCUCCAGUGCGGGGUGGAGGAGCAGUCCCAGCGGCCCCUCCUGCCUCUCCCUCCACAACGAUACGUGUCCUGAAGAUUUCUCGACGCCGCCGCUGCUGGUGAUCGGGCUGGACGGUCUCAGACCAGAUGCACUGCGGGAGGACCUGACACCUGCCCUUGUGUAUCUGAGAAAGUGCGGCGCCACCACCCACGGCAUGGUGCCCACUUACCCCACCACCACUUUCCCCAACAUGUACACCAUAGCUACGGGCCUGUACCCCGAGAGUCACGGCGUGGUGGCCAACAAGAUGCACGACCCAGACAUCACCAGGGAGUUUGUGCUGGGUAACGGCAGCAUCCACAACCCCGCGUGGUGGGGCGGCGAGCCCAUCUGGUACACCUCCACCAAGCAGGGAAUGAAAUCAGCCACACUCUUCUGGCCGGGGUCUGACGUGUCCAUCCAGGGGGGCUACGCGGCCUACUGGAAGAGCUACCAGUCCCACAUCACCUUUGAGGAGCGCAUCACCAAGAUUCACGAGUGGUUGAGGUUGCCGGGACACGAGAUGCCUCACCUCAUCAUGGUCUACUUUGAGGAGCCCAUGCGCACCAUUCGGCAGUAUGGGCUGGACUCGGAGGAGGCUGACAAGGAAAUGAGAAACAUUGACCUGAUGAUAGACGAGCUGAUGAAUUCCCUACACAAGGAGAAUCUGGCUCACUGCAUUAAUGUGAUGGUGCUGUCAGACCAUGGUGUGGCGCCCUUUUCCUGCUCCAACAACUUCCACAUGCAAACGUUCAUGAAGGACAUUGAAGCAGAGGUGCACAUUUACACUGGUGCUGUGGGAAGACUGAGGACGAAGGAGACAAGCAACAAGGCUGAGGCCGAAGAGAAGAUUUUAAACACUUUGAGGUGCAAGAACCCCAAGGUGCGUGCUCUGCCCAAGGAACUCUUGCCACGAAGGUACCACUACACCAACAACAAGAGGAUAGAGAACAUAAUCCUGGACACGUCACUCAACACUCGGCUCGUCACAAACUCUGACCGUGACUGCAAGAAGGCUAUCCAUGGCUACAACAACCUGGAGGCCUCAAUGCAGGCACUCUUCAUAGGCUUCGGUCCAGACUUCAAGGUGAAUCAGACCAGCCAUAACUUCAGGAAUGUGGAGCUGUAUAAUCUGAUGUGCCAGUUGCUACACAUCAAACCAGUCAGCAACAAUGGCACAGCAGGGAGUCUGAACCAUUUGCUGCGUGACCCUCCUCCUGCCUCCCCCAACCCUGCUGUCCUGACUGAGGAGCUCCUGCCUCCCCCUGUUGGCAUGCUGCAGUUAAGAAGCUCUGAGGAUGCAUGCCAGUGCUUUAUUCCUGAGGCUCAAGAUGCAUUGGGGGAAGAGAGUCUUGCCCGUAGGCGCCGCAGUGGUGAGGCCAGCAGCAGCGGCAGCAGUGACACUAACAAAAUCAACAACACAGAAAAUGCUGACAGUAGUGACAGUGUUAAGAAUGACCCCAGUAACAACAACCCUGACACCACCACCACCACCACCUCCAGCACCACCACCACUAGUACAACCACCCCUCCCCCAACCACUACCCCCUCUACCACCACUACAUCCCCACCUACUACCACUACCACUACCACCACACCACCACCAGACACCACUACCUCUUCCACCACUACUUCCUCUACCACAACCACUCCCACCACUACCACCACCACUACAACCACCACCACUACCACUACCACCACUCCUGCCCCCACCACCACCACCACCCCAAGACCCAUGACGAGGGAGGAACAAAAGCUGCUCCUCAAUACACAUGUUCCUUGGGGCAAUCCAGGUCUCUCCAAACCAAAAGAUAUCCAGGGAAAUUUGAAGGUUCUGUUGCAUUCCAGUCAUGUUAUCGGUUUGCAUGAGACUCUAUCCCUGGGAGUGUGGACGAGCUUCACCUUAUCCAACGCCACCCUGACAGUGCUGGAGGAGGAAGCGGGCCUGGAAGAGCAGCAGCCAGUUCCUGCAUGUUGGAGGGCUGAUCCCCGCUUGGAGCGCUCUCAGCAGGACCAGUGCCAGAAGAUGCUGACUGAAGAGGCGUACCUUGAUAGUAAUGUCACCCUCACACAGCUCUUCCCUGAGGAGCUUGAAAUGAAAAAACUCUUGGAGGCUGAAGGUUACUUGCUCUCCAACAUGGCUCCAGUGAGGGCCGGGUAUGCUGAUGGUGGUCGGCAGGCCAUGGUGAAGGCUAUCAAGGAGUGGACCAAGUCUCUUGGGGCCAUCAAUGUGAUUCAUGGCCCCAUCUUUGACCUUGAUAUUGAUGGCCACCAGGAUCCUGUGGCCACCGUGCUGAACACUGUCAAACCUCUCGUGCCAAGUAACUACUUCUUUGUGAUAAGCCAGUGUGGAUCAGUGCCUUGUCCCAGCAAGCCCAAGGAGAUGCUGGCCUUCAUCUUCCCCAACACACACUUCCCUGACAACUGCCUCAUGAGCGACAGUGAGUACCUGAACUAUCACUUGGCCAAUGUGCGGGACGUGGAGCUGCUCACCGGCCUGCAUUUCUUCAGGAAUGUGUACAACCACGCAGCCCUAGAGUACCGAACCAUGCAGCCCCUCACCACCUGGCCCCUUCCUCCAUCCUGGGAUGCCCCUCUUGUCCUUACUGAGUGACAGAAUGGGCAAAGCUGAUUCUUUUGCUGCAGAGAACAUACAGCUCUCAUAACCCAAGUGUGUGUGUGUGUGUGUGUGUGUGUGUGUGUGUGUGUGUGUGUGUGUGUGUGUGUGUGUGUGUGUG